UCCAAUCAAUUUUAAAAAAAUAAACUAUACACAUGUUAAUAAAUAUGGUAACAAGAUGGGUAAUAUAAAAUUGAUAGAAUAUGUAAUGCAUGAAAAAGGAAACAAAAUUAAAAAUAAAAUAGAGAAUAAAAACAUAAAAGAGAAGAAUUGUAAUUAAAAGGGGAUCACCCCUGUUCAGAAAAAUAAAAGAGACCUAAAAGGGAUCUAAAUCCCUAGCUUCUCCUUUUUAGCGGCAGAAACCCAUCUACGCGGAGGGAGGUGAACGGCGACGGCAAACUGAGGUGAAGGUGAGUUGUUGUGGCGCGAGUGGCGGAAGGAGUUGUGCCACCCAUGGUUGCGGCUCUGAAACCGUGGGUUUGGGACAACCGGACCCAAGAGAGGGUGGUCCACGUCUGGACGGAGUCUGGCAGCGGCGGCAGAGCGACGCGAUGGCUGGCCAACCAUAGCUUCUUCAGGGUCAUGCGGGUCGUCUUCUUCCUCUCUUGGGUAUAGAUCUGGUCAUGGCUGGAGGUAGGAGAACCUCCUUGACCAUGGCAGGAGGAGCCGACGGCUGGCCCUCAUCUUCUCCUUCUCCGGUCGCACCGCACAAGAUGCGGAUCCGGUGACCCAUGGGUUCAUAACCCAUUUGUUCAAAUGCUAUAAGCAAAGCUUUUUUUGGGUAAAGGGGAGUCACAUGGGGAAACCAUAUCCCUCAUAUAUUGCCAAGAUCUCAUAAGAAUCAUGUUCUAUUUUAAAAAAAAUUGUUUGUGCAUGGAAUUGCUUGCUGGAUUUUUGUUAAAUGAGUUUGGAGAAUAGAAUACUUGAGUUAUCCUUAGAUUUUAGGAAAAGAUGACUACAAAAUAAUAUGUAAACAUGUAGAUUGUUUUAACUUUAAGUGAAUGCACAAUACUUUUGUUGUUACUGAUUCAAACAUUCAUCUUGAUGAAUGAAAUAAAACCCAAAAUAAAUAAAUGUUACAGAACUAAAAGCAUAUACAUGAGAUGUUUUGAAUGCUUGAACAUAAAAAAACAGAGCCUAAAGAUGUAAAAGGACACUAACCUUUUAGAAUGACUAAUGUAUUUUCUCUUCCUUUUUAGCACGUAUAUCUUCUCCUCCUCCCCACUUUUUUUGUAUUCUUUUCCAUAUCUCUCUACCUUUUUCAGUAUCUCUUUUUUUUUUUCUUUUUCUCUCUGUACCUUUUUGCUCUCUCUCUCUCUCUUUUGUCAAAAUGUUGGUGUUCUCCUCUCCCUUUUUUUAACCCGUGUGUUCCUCCUUUUAGAGAUUGACAUUAGCACCCACUCCUCCUAUAACUUAGGUAACCAUCCCACUACCAGAGAGAAAAAAGGGAAAAAGGGAAAACGUCACCCACUAUUUCCCAUCUUUUACUAUUUGAAAUGUAUGAAAAUACUAUUAUAUUUUUUAUUUUAUAAAUCUUUAUAUUUAUUUUCUGAAAAUAUAUUUCGAUAGUAAUAAAAAGACUUUUAGAUCUUUAUGGGAGGGACAAAAAUAGGUAUUUAGAUAUGUAAAUAAGAAAGAUUAUAUUGUUAGGUUGAUUUUAGCCCAAGUUAUUAGUUUCUAAGAAUAUAUGGGUUAGUUGGUUAGUUAGUUUUGGUAUUAGGUUAGUUAGUUUUUCCUUCCAUUUAUAUAGAUGGUUUAAUGUAAUUUUGUAGAUUAUCUAUUCAAUAUUCAAGGAAUAAAAUUCAUAUUCUAUUUCUGCUCUUGAUUUUUAACAUGGUAUCAGAACAAAAAUAAUUAUUUCUUCCAUCAUCAAUAUUACUUCAAGAAACUCAGUAGGAAAUGUUGAAAUUUUUCUAAGCUUCUGAAUAUUGCUUUUGAAGAUCCUACUAACCUUAGCUGAGAAGAAAAUAAUCAAUAGAACUACUCAAAGAAGAUUUAUUGGAAGAGUGCAUUGCCAUCAACCACAACCCUCAACAACAUUACUUCUAUUGGUGCAGAAUUUAAUAUGAAAGAUUCUCAUUGCGUUCUAGUUCUUUAGGUUUGGCUUUUUUAAGAUUCUCAUUAAUUUUUCAUCCAAGACUCCAGACGAGUUCUUGAUAGUCUUAGAACUUGAGGUUGCACUAUGUUUUGGAGACAAACAAUUACUUCCUAGCUUUGAAAGUCAAAUGGAGUAGCUACAUCUUUGGAAGUCUUUAACAUUAUCCUCAAAAUGCAAUUCUCGUGUAGACUGUUCUCACUAUCAUAAUAGAAGCAUUGUCUUUAUCUCAUCUUUUUUUCUUGAAAUUCAUUGGGGAACCAUUGAUCAUUCAAAACAAUUAUCUACACAUGAUAGCAAAGCGAUCUUUCUUGUGAAAAUCCAAGAUAAUAUAAAAGGGGCACAAAAUAUUGUUGCAAGUAGCACAUGAUGGAACAUGUUGUGUUUCUAUCUUCAAAAGUUAUAUUGAAGAUAUUGUGUCAUGGACUUAAGAAAAAUAUCCAAGUUCAUUGGGGACUUAAAUCUUCCACAGCAGCCACCACCUGUGUUUGGUUCAAGUAGUGAAAGUAACUACAAAUUUGGAAACUACACAUUAGGAUCGAAGUUUCGAUCUAUUUUUCUUUCUUUUAUCAUUAAUGGUUGUUGGUUUGCUUCUGUCCAUGGUGGUUAAGCAAAGAUAUAGUUUCUGCCAUGGAUGGUUAAACGUUUGAUGAUAUAGCUUCUGUCAUAGGUGGUUAAACGUUGUUAUUGCUUCAAAUCAAUUCCAAGUUGGGAGUUUAAAAUUUUCACUCUUCAGCUUGAGGGGGAUUGUUGAAAUAUAUUGUAUCAAUGUAAAUAAUAGCGUAUGUGAAUAUGAGAGAUUAUAUUGUUAGGUUGGUUUUAGCCCAAAUUAUUAGUUUCUAAGAAUAAAGGGUGUCACGCCCCGAUUUUCGACCACGCGACCUCUUAGAGUUGCCACUAUAUUUUAUGGUAAAAAAUGUAGAAAAAUAUUUAAAACCCAAUCACAUUGGGCUUUUGGAUUUUUGAUAUCCAGGUUCGGGAGUCGAUUACGAAUUGAGGAAUGUACUAGCACCUCGUUCGCCCGUAAUAAACGAUACUCUAACUAAUUGCAUAAAUUAACUACCCUUAACUUAUUAAAAUUAAAUUACUUAAAACAAAAUAUAUUCUUUUAUUUUUUGUGUCUGACAAGUUCAUAUUGCUCCUACAUAUCCCUGACUACAAUAGGGAAAUCUAGACUACGUAAUUUUGGUUGAAAAUGGGUAAGUUGGUUUGAUUAAAAGAUUUAGAAAUGUGUUUGAAUUUAAUUGAAGUGAGACUAAUAAACGAAGAGUCAACAUUUAUUUCUUACCCUAUUCCCACUUCGAUAGAUAGUAGAAGAGUACAAGUGACUGCAACCGGUUUUUCGGCUCAAAGCGAAGAGAAAGACACAAUACGAGUUGUAACCUCAUCAUUAUAUUCCAAAAAUAAUUAAAACAUUUUACUCUUAGAUAACUUAGAUAUUUUUAAAGUGAGAAUUAAUAAGUGGAGAGUCGACAUUAGUCAUUAAUCAUCUUCUUACUUCGAUAAAUAGCAGAAGUUGUAUAAGUAACCACGACCGAUGCUCGACUCAAAGUAAGAAGCAAGAUAUGACACGAGUCAUAACCUCACUAUUACAUUCUCAUUGAAAUAAUUUUAUUUAAUAAAGAGACAAAACUUUUAGUUUUAAAUAUAUUUUUAUUAAACUCAUUUGAUGCUAAAUUUAUAUGAUUAAUAAGCAAAAAUUAAUUGGAUGAGACCAUUGCCUUAAAAUAACCAAACAUAUAAUAGGUAAAUAAAUAAAUAAAUAAGUAAGGAAUAAGUAGUAAAAAACUUAAAGAGGGGUAACACAAAGUUACACCUAUUAUGCAUAACACAUAAUAAAGAAAAGGGAAGAGGGAUUGAAUCCCUAAAUUAGCUACUCCCUUUUCUUCCUCCAGCAGCGUCAACUAAACAAGGCUAGGGGAGGAGAACAUCGACGACUAUUAAUGGUGACGACGGUGGUGCCAUUCAUGACCCCAACAGCGAUAGAGAUGUGUGUCCUCUUCUGGACGCGACUUGGCUGAGGGGGUAGCACCUUUGGUGACCCCGACAACAAGGGUGGAGGAGCCAUGGCUGUCGGUUGGCUCCGGUCAGGCUUCCCGUCCAGCGCUCUUCUGGACGAAGGUGGCGAACGUCAGGGACGUCCAGACCAUGGACGUGGAGGUGCAGCGGUGAGUACUCCUAUGUUGGUCGUGCCGGAAGAGGUAAACGACAUUAUCGGUUGUCGGAGCAUGUUCUCUGGUUUUCAAAAGACUCCCUAGGAUUAUUGUGGCUUUAUUUUUUUACAUUAUCAUGGACAUAUGGAGAUGAUUGUGAUUCUGUUUUUUUAGAAGUUAAAAUGAUGUUCAUUGAUUCAAUUUAUUUGUUAUUUUUAUUUGUUCAUUAGAGAGAAAAUUAUUGUUCAUGAGUUCCAGUGUUAUAAGAUGUAAAUCAACAGCAUAAUAGUAUACAAAUGUGUUUCUGUUAACGACAUUUAGUGACUAUCAUAUGGAGGUAUAGGUAUUAUGAAUCUCAUUGAUAUAUAAAGUAUGAUGUUGUGUGAGAAUCGUUAUGAAUGCAAUAAAUCCGAAACAAAUUACCAUUGUGUAUAGACAUUGAGGAGCCUUUACUGUUUUGGAUGUGAGUAAUUAUGUUAAAAGUAAAAGUAUAUACAUUGAUGUUUUGAAUGCUUAAAUGUGAAGAAAAUAUAGAGAUAUGGAUGAUUGUUGCGAAACUAAAGAUGUGUAGAUAUUUGAAUGCUUAAACAUAAAAAAUAUAGAUAUGAAUAGAUAGAAGGACAGUAGGACAUUAACCUUUUCGAAAAGCUACUUUAUUACACUCUUUUUUUAAGCAAGUAUGUCCUCUUCUCUACUUUUUGUGCCUUUUUACUCUGCGUAUUUUUUUCAUUAUACCUUUUUUUUUUGUCUUUUGCGCUCUUUCUCUCAGCUUUCUCUCUUUUCCGGUGUCCUCUCUUUUAUGCUCUAUGCUUUGUGUUAUGUGUUUUUGUUCUUGUGUCUUUUUUUUUAUUCUGAACUAGUAGGAUACCCGUGCAUUCCCACGAGUGAUAAUGUAUCUUGCAUGGAUUUAUUUAAAGAAUAAAAACAUGAUUUGUUAAUGAAAAUAUUAUUGAGUUAUGUCAUGAAAAAUGAUGUUCAUGUAUUUGAUUGUUGAUAUAGAAUUGUUGACAACAGAGAUGAUAUUAAAUGUGUUAUAUUAAAUAAAUAAAUAAUUGUUAUGAAGAAAUGUUUGGAAUGUAAUGUAAAAUAAGUUGUAGAAUAUAUGUUAUAGAUUUCGGAAAACUUGUUUACAAAUCACAUUUGUUAUUGUCUUAAUGGUUGACUAUCAUUAUCAUAUAUCAAUUUCUUCAAUCCCUUUUUCUUUGAACUAUUAAAAUAGCUAUAUACAAUUGACCAUGAAUGAGCAUUGGUCUAGAUAAAUAUAACUCCAUAUUUUCUAAUGACUGACAUUGAGAUUUAUUGAUUAUCACAGCAUAUGAAAUAAUUAUAGGGAAUUAUCUUAUGAUAAAAUGAAAAGACCAUGAAGAUUGAGAUGAAGACAUCCAAGGAAUAUAUAUGAUAUUUCCAAUAUAUUUUGUGACGUGAUCUUUGCUUCAAGUACAUGAUUUGUCAUUUUAGUGACAACCAAUCUUUUAUAGUUACAUAAUUCUUCAUAUUGGUCUAAUUUCCUAAAUAACAUUCUUGAAGUUCCAACUUUCAACUUGAUCUUAUGAUUGCCAAGGCAUAAGUUCUUCAUAUUGGUAUAAUUUGUCAGAUGUUGUAAAUGAGUUUAGAAAUUCAGGAGUUAGUGUAUUGAAUGUUUCACUUUCAUUAUCACCAGAUAUAUCAACUGAAUAUGAAAUCAAGUAUUUCUUUUCCUCACCUAUAGUUAUACAUCAGAACAUUUAUUAAUGUAACUUUAAUAAAUCUAUUAUAUCGAACAUAAUGAAAUUUACAUAUAACUAAAACAAAUUCACCUAGAAUUAUACUCAUAACAUAUUCAUUGAUUUGAUCAACAAUCUCAAUUGUUGAUGCAAGUAUUACUCUAGAUUGUAGAAAUUGUUAUCAAUAACAUUUUUCUUAUUGGUGCUAGUUUGGGUAGAAUCUAUUCAUAAAUUCUAAAUUCAUUUUUGUUAUACAUCUCAGUCAUGAGAUGUAAUUUAAAUGGUUUAAAUUGAUUUUUUUUAAAAUUGAAAUUUUUUGCUUAUAGGAAUGCAUAUUUUUUAUUGACCAAAAUUUCCCUUUUUAAGGACUGACAAAUUUUUUAGAUGUUCAAAUAAUUCGUUUCAUCAGUCUAAGAGAAUAACAAAAUGAUAAUAGAUGAUGCAUAAGUUAUUAUUACUAUGUUUAAAAUUUUGGAAGUACAAUGCAAACUUAACUUUUUUGACAUUCGUUUCUCUGGAUUCAGAAAACUAUAAGCAAAUGACUAAGUGGUAUUAGGACCAACAAUAAUUUCACUAUCUUAAAAUAAAAUAAUAAAAUAAAUUUAAUUAUUUAUUUUGUGCAUCCACACAAAAUACUAUUUAUUAUUGAUUAUGAAUGAGUUUAUUGUUGUCGGUCUCAAUUGUUUAGUAAUCAUCCCUAUUAAUCAAUGAUAACUUUAUAAAAUAAAAACCUAUAAUAAUGAUUGUUUAAUAAAGACAAUAUGUAGUGUCAAUAACAUUGAUCACUAUCGAAAAUGUCAACAAAUUAAGUAGAACAAAAAAUAUUGAUAAUAUUUGAUAUUGAUAUAUUUAUUGACAAAAUAGAAUAGAACAUUUGGAGUAAGGACAUCAACAACCACCAAAAACAUAUAUUUAUUAGGAGCUUGAUAGCCAUAGAAUGAAUAUGGACUAUUUUUUGCUUCCUUUUCUGACUUGCUAUUAUGGUCAAUCUCUUCUUAAAACGUAGAUGGUCUAUGGGGCAAGAGCUCCAUUUAUCACCAUAACUUUCUCAUUUGAUAAGAUAAUUUUCUAUACUUCACAAAAAUAUAUAGAGAGAGAAAAUAUUAUCAAGAUUUUUUAAAACUUUGACAUAGAAACCAACAUUUGUUCACAGUAGUGACAAAAUAUGUCUUUAUCUGCAGACAAUUCAAGCUACCUUUCAAUAUGGUUCUGCAUAAACAAAGUAUUUAUGAUAUAGUCAACCAAUAAUAAAAUGAGAAAUUUUUUUGAGAAGAGACAUGAGAGAGGGAAGACAGAAUGAAGGAAAAUGAUCAUAUAUAUCAAAUUAACAAACUCAAGAAAUAUCCAUGCUUUCUGUCCUCUGUUUUGAUUGCACUAUCUAAAAUACCCCUUGAUUUAACACUUGAUAAGGAUUAAAAAAAUGGUUAAAUUUAUAAUUCAUUGAAUAUAAUUAUGAGCUAUAACUAACAAUGAAUGUUAUCAAUGAUAAUACUUUACAACACUUUAUGUUGUAUAACAAUACAGAUUGAAGACAUGAUUAUUAUCUAACUAAAGUAAUAUUUUACCAAAGCAUUGUCAAGUGCAAUAAAAACAAAAGCAUGAUAAAAUUGUCAAUUAUGUAAUCAAAUGAUUGAAGGAAAGAUGAUUUAGCUAUUUGUGUCUCAUCACAAAGUGCAUGAAAGAAUAAGAUGGACAUGAUCAAACCUCCAUUUUACUCUACCACCAAAGAAUAUGUGCUAUGUGCUUUCAUGAAAAUGUGACUUGAAUGUUGAUUCAUAGAUACCCUUCUAGCAUUAAAUCUGAAGGUAGCUCCCUCUGUACUGAUUUACUAUUCCUGAAGUUCUCCUAAGCAAAGUUUUCCUUUUAAGUGGUCAGCUUCUUCCUAGAGUUCUCUUGUUUUGCCAGGCAACAACAAUAUGUCUAUAAAGAGCUGGGGAAAUGAAGCAGAGCAGUAUAAAAGUACCAUAACAACACAAAGUAACAUCACAUUAUGAAAACCAUCCUUUAGCUCUAGCACAUUUUGCCUUUUCAAUGGAACACCUCCAAUAAUCAUGGCAAAAGAAUGCAAUCAAAGUCCAACAAUCAAACAUUAGUUUAUACUUUUAGUCCCAAUAUGUGACGCUCGUUUUCUAACUUGGUCCCUCCACAAUGUUUCCCCCCUUCAAUUUAGUCCCUAAAUGUAUAAUUAUUUGUAAAGUAUAUGGACCAACUUGAAAAUGGUUGUCACGUAUAAGGAUCAAAGUGAAAAUGAUUAUCACACACAGGUCAAAAUGUAUAGGUUUGGUCUUUAUAUGGACAAUCAUUUUCAAUUUUAGCCUUAUACUUUAAGGAUUGAAUUGUACUAUAAUGACUGCAUUGAUUUUCUCUUCUGUUUUUUUCCGGAACAGAGACGACCAAAGUGUACUUUAACAUUGUUGCUUACAAUAAAUAAUAAAAAAUUAGAAUCCAGGUGCACUUGCUAAUGUAACUAUCUGUCUCUUGUUCCAAGAGACAACUGAAUUCUAAACCAUGGAUCCUGUGGAAAGAAAAUGAUCACUGCCAAUUGGAUCUAUAAUGAUCUAUACAUGGAAUAUAAGAAAGUGAAAUGUGUGGUUUUAAGGAUUUAGGAGUUCUCUUGAAAGGGAUAGUUAUUAAUAGUGGUUUCAACUUUUUUCUAUUUUCUUACUUGAAUACAUUUUUAUUUUAUUCUUUCACAUUGCUGAAUCUUAAGUUUUCAACAAACAGCCAAAGAUUGCAACUUGCAAGAGAAGGUGUCAUUCAUUGAAACAAUGGCAACUUCACCAUUAAUAAUAUAAAUGAGAUAGAAGUCUAAUUUUGUGAGUCAUAAAAGGCUGAAGUUUAUAUAUGAGGAUUGUUACAACUUUAAGCAUACCCUCUAACUAUCAUGAGGAGUUCUUUGUCUUCCAAUUCUAUAACAGCAGAAUUUAGUAGUUUUGAAAAAGACUAAUUUCUACAAUGGUAUCAAGCACACUAAAUUGGCUAAAUAAGAUCUAAUCAGGUUCUAAAAUAAAAAAAUUAAAAAGUAUCAGAUUGCUAACCUCCUUCAAGCCUACGUUCUCAGAUUGCUAACUUCAUUAUGAUAAACCCUACCUUCUCCUUCAACCUCUUUAACCUUCCAAUUAGUUCUUCAAGGGAGUUAAUGUCUUCAUUGGUAAACCAGUUUUUUUGAAGAGCAUUUUUCUUUGACUCAAAUAUAUUUGCUCUCCAUAGGUAAUCACCUGAAUACAAUUGAGACAAUGUAAGAUCAAAAGGAAGUUUAGUAAGUCCAUACAAUAGAUUUUAUUUUAUCACCUAUUUGCAUUGUUAUCAAAAGAAUUAACAUCUCAAACCAUAAUAAAAAACUAAACAUAAUGACGUCAAAUAAGUCACUUUAUCUACUGUAUGUUUAAACUCUAAAAAUUAAACCGACAUAAUUUAAAGAUUGUAACAACAUUUAAGUUUCUAGUAUAAAGUAUGAACAACAAAUAUAAAACCAUUUAAGUUUGGUUAACAAUAAUAUCAGAGCAUGUAAGAAGUUCAUAUGCUUAACUAUGAAAAUGUGUGAAUGGGAGAGCUUGUAGUUGGUGUACAAUAGCUCUAAAAAUUGAAUCUAUCAUAAAUAAAGCUAAAAAACCAAUCUACAACUAGGAGAACCCUAUGGUUAAAGGAUCAAAAUAAGCUUUUCAAUUCACUCCAUGUGAGAAUCAUGGAACAAAUACAUGUGUGGUCUUGAAUGAAUUUUCUAGUCAAAGUUGAAAGUCUUAAAUAUUAAUAGAAUAAAAAAAUAAAUUACAUGAUAAAAAAAUACUUUUAAAUCAUCCUAUAAAUAUACUCUUAAAUCAACCUAUAAAUCUUUACAAAUCACAAAAUAACAUUAAAUACAAUAAAAAUGACAUUAUGACAAAAUGUAUAAGUUAUGGGUUGAUCUUAUAAGAAAUAAAUCAUUUUUUAUAAAAUGAUAAGAUAUUUAUAUCAAAAUGACUAACCUAAGUGUUGUGAUGGCUCAAUGACGACGCCAACGAUAAUAGCUUCGGCGUGUGAUGUAAAAAUGUUAUCUUGAACUCAUACAAAAAAGUGUUAUCUUGAACUCAAAAAAUCAAAUAAGCUUCAUCCGACAAAGAACCACGUUCUAUAAGAUUUGAUGAUAAAGAAGUGUAAGAAUAAAUCAUACCUUUGAACAAAGAACCCAUCGAUUGGUUUCACGGAAGAAGAAGUUGUGCAUAUGAUGAAGAAAGAAGUUUGUAGAAGAAAAAAAUGUUGAUGGUUUAAUGAAUCUCAUAUUUGAAAAAUGGAGAGUGAGAGGCUGAAAAUAAAGAGAGUGUGUGUGAAAAUGGGAAAGAGAGGGAGAGUGAAAAGGGAGAAAGAGAGAUUGUAAUGCUUUUCAAUUUUCAUUUCAAAUCUCUCCCUCGGUUACUAAUCGUACAAUGAAAAGCAUUAGAAGGUAGAGGGUAUACCCUAUACUUUAGACAAACUGUAGCAAUAAAUGCAAGUUGUAGAACUCUUUCAUAUUAAUUUCUAGUAUUUUUUUAAAGAAAUAAAAAUUGUUAUUACAGAUAUAACCAUUUAAAAUCCAAGUGUCAAUAGAAGGGGAUAUCUAUUUUGAUAAUAACACCAACCCCUUCUAUUCUUAAUAAGAUAGUAGAAGUGGUGUUUUUUUAUAAAGGAUCAUCAGAGAUCAACCUCCACAUCCCCAUCCAUUAUCCUUGGAAAAUAGCCAACCUCCCCAUCGUCCCAAAAAACUCUGACCCACUAGUCAAAUCUGGUUGUCAAACCAGAUUCCUUUUUCAACCACUUCCCCCUUUUUGUUCUUUAUCUUAUUAAUAAUUUUAAAUUAUUUUCGAAAUAAAUAAGAAAAUGCUUUUUCUUCUAUACAAUUUUUGGUUCUAAAAAAAACUAUUGUCGGACUUUUUAUGGGCCGAACAAAAGUAGGUAUUUAAAAUUUCUCCUAUUUACUUGUUAUUCACCUGAUAGCAAGUAAAUUGUGGUUUGAGAGAUAUCAUAAUGAGUAACUAAUAAAGAAGUGAAUGUUAAUUUUGUCAAGGCCCAUAAAAACUUACCUGACAACUUCUCAUAGCCUAAUAGUAUUUAUCAUCUUUUCUGAUUUGAGUCAUCUUCAAAACGAUUCGAGUGUGUUCUUGUUAUGCAUGACAAAAAGCUAGAGUGAACCCAAGACGCUAGUAGGUAUACUUCUAGAACUUGGGGUAAAAAGGUGAAACCAAAGACACAUGUUGGUGUACUGCCGGAAUUCGGAGUCAAAAUGUGAAACAAAAGACGCAGGUUGGUGUACUGCCAGAACUUGUAGUGAAAAGGUGAAACCAAAGACGUAGGUUGAUAUACUGCCAUAAUUUGGAGCGAAAAGGUGAAACCAAAUACGCAGGUUGGUGUGCUGCCAGAAUUUGGAGACACAAGGGUAAAAGCUAAGAACGCAGGUUGAUGUACUUCCAGGACUUGGGUUGAAAAGUUGAAAUCAAAGAUGCAGGUUAGUGUGCUGCCAGAAUUUGGAGACACAAGGGUAAAAGUCAAGAACGCUGGUUGGUGUACUGCUAGGACUUGGGUUGAAAAGUUGAAACCAAAGACGCAGGUUUGCGUGCUGCCAUAAUUUGGAGACACAAGGGUAAAAGUCAAGAACGCAGGUUGGUGUACAGCCAGAACUUGAGGUGAAAAGUUAAAACCAAAGACGCAGGUUGGUUUACUGCUAGAAUUUGGAGACACAAGCUAUUUGAAUAUGGAAUGCCAUGCUUUUGUGGUUUCAUUUUUGUAUGAAAUCCAUAUGAUUGUUAUUAAUGCAUGUUAUGAGAUGCUCAUGUCUGGUAAUUCUAUAAUUUUUCAAAUCAAAUUGAGUUGUAAUUGGUAUUCAUCAUUAUCGCUUUACCGCAUCCUCAAUAGUUGAUUGUAGAUUACUAUUUACGGAGAACGAGGUUGUUCGGGCGAUGAUUAACUCUACGUUUCAGUAGAAACAUGCUCUUUUCUUUCAAAUACUAAUUAGGACAUCAUAUUUAAAAUUCAUAAGAUAGUACAAGUUUAAUAAAAAUGAGCUAUACAACCAAAAGACUUUAAUUCAUAUGUGGAUAAGGAAAUACAAACAUGUUUGGCGUUUUGUGUUAUGGGCGGAGUUGCGGGAGUUGGCUAUAAAUAACAAAACAUGUUAGAACACCAUGAUACAAUCAUUGACCAUCCAAAAUUUGCCCCAAUAAAUUUUCUUAAUUUUUGGUCUUCCAAAAUUUGCCCCAAUAUUAACUUAUUGGCUUGUGCUCCUGAGAUACCUUUUCUUUUGUCCCUAAUAGCUUAGACCGCCCUUUCGGAUUUUCGACCUAAACAAGUUUUUUUUCAUUUCUUUAAGAGUGUUUGUGUAUUGAUCACGCUAUGCCUAGAUUUUUUAAGAAAAAAUGAUUUGAAUUAAUUUUGGAGUCAAUCAUUUGGUACCCUUGGUAUGUAUAUCAAACAGUUUGAAUCUCAACAAGGACUUUUUAGGCUAGUAAUGUGGUCUAAUGAGAGGUUUAAAAGGAUAUAAGGCUCAAAUGACGUGUUUCCCGCCCCAUACUUUCUCCAUAUUCUCCAUAAUCUUAUGUCCAACAUCUCCUACAUUUCAACCAUGUAUACGAUUUCCGUUCCUUUUGGAAAAGGAAAGUUUUGUAACCAUUCUAGUUUGAGAUUUUUUUAUUUGCCCUAACAUUUGCCUAAGUUUUUAAUAAAACUCUUAGCAGUCUCUUUUUGUAAUCCAGUUGAUCAAUUUCUAGAUCUUUUGAAGAUUUGUUGAAAAACUACCCUUCCGUGAUGUACUAGUGUUUUUAGAAGGUGUUGUAUUUUUUGAAUAAAUUUCUUUCAUAGUAUCUCAGCUCAAAAGGAGUAACUAGGGAUAUCUUCAUUGGUAUUUGGAAUAACAAAGAAGUCUUAUGUCAUCAACCUGACCUACCUGAGGGUACACACCGUAUGAGAUUUGUUUACAUCAUCCUCCUAAGAGAGUACACGAAAGUAUGCAAAAAUGCGUGAUCAUUGCACAAACCUCUUUUUUUUCUUUUU
rnacentral:lncRNA from 1 species